rnacentral:rRNA from 1 species
UUCGACCUGAGCUCAGGCAAGAGCACCC